rnacentral:rRNA from 1 species
UACGGGGGGGGCAAGCGUUGUUCGGAAUUACUGGGCGUAAAGGGCUCGUAGGCGGCCAACUAAGUCAGACGUGAAAUCCCUCGGCUUAACCGGGGAACUGCGUCUGAUACUGGACGGCUUGAGUUUGGGAGAGGGAUGCGGAAUUCCAGGUGUAGCGGUGAAAUGCGUAGAUAUCUGGAGGAACACCGGUGGCGAAGGCGGCAUCCUGGACCAACACUGACGCUGAGGAGCGAAAGCCAGGGGAGCAAACAGG